rnacentral:rRNA from 1 species
AGCUCCAAUAGCGUAUAUUAAAGUUGUUGCGGUUAAAAAGCUCGUAGUUGGAUUUUGGGCUCGAUUUUGUUAGGCGAGUGUAAACUCGAACUGACAGAACGGGCCUUCUGUCUGGAGGUGGCGUUCGUCAACUUCAUUGGGGCGGAUGCCACGUCUAGGACUUUUACUUUGAACAAAUUAGAGUGUUUAAAGCAGGCAAUUCGCCUUGAAUACAUUAGCAUGGAAUAACCGAAUAGGACUUUGGUUCUAUUUUGUUGGUUUUAAGAACUGAAGUAAUGAUUAAUAGGGACAGUUGGGGGCAUUCGUAUUUAAUUGUCAGAGGUGAAAUUCUUAGAUUUAUUGAAGACGAACUUCUGCGAAAGCAUUUGCCAAGGAUGUUUUCAUUAAUCAAGAACGAAAG